GCACGAGGAAGAGCUGCAGGGGUCCAGCACGAGGAAGAGCUGCAGGGGUCCAGCACGAGGAAGAGCUGCAGGGGUCCAGCACGAGGAAGAGCUGCAGGGGUCCAGCACGAGGAAGAGCUACAGGUUCAGUAGGAGGAAGAGCUGCAGGGGUCCAGCACGAGGAAGAGCUACAGGUUCAGUAGGAGGAAGAGCUGCAGGGGUCCAGCAUGAGGAAGAGCUACAGGUUCAGUAGGAGGAAGAGCUGCAGGGGUCCAGCACGAGGAAGAGCUACAGGUUCAGUAGGAGGAAGAGCUGCAGGUUCAGUAGGAGGAAGAGCUGCAGGGGUCCAGCACUGCUGCUGUAGCGGAAGUGCAGGUCUAGUGAAGGCACGACGCUGUCUGUGUGCAGGAUAAACGCCAGGUACAGCUUUAUGUAGCUUUAGCGUGUCUCAGCGCCUCACACUGCGCCUUAUAACUGGCGGAGGGGGCGGAGCAACAGGAGGCGGGGCGGCUCGGCCCUCUGAACGCCUCGUUUGAUUGGCCCUUAGAAGGAGAUAUGCAAAUGAGUCUAAAAAACACUGAAUGAACACACCUGAUCAGAGUUCGUUCCUUUCUUUCUUUCUUUCUUUCUUUCCUUUCUUUCUUUCUUUGGGGGACAAAUAGAGGAAUAAGCAAGUUUUACCUGUAAUAAUAAUAAUAAUAAUAAUAAUAAUAAUAAUAAUAAUUUAUUGAUCCCAAGGGGAAUUUAGAGUAAGACCAUGACAUUGCUUUAAAAAAUAAUUAAGGGAGACAUACUGCUUCCUGUCUGCUGAUGAUAGAUUUCACUCUUUUGCUUUAUUCUUUCAUUAAUUCAUGACAAAUUAAAUUCUCUCUCUCUCUCUCUCUCUCUCUCUCACACACACACACACACACACACACACAUAACCAGCGUUAGUGUAAUCUCUCUUUAGCCCCAAUACUCUGUACCAUGACUGUAGACUUGUAUAAUCUGAUUAACUUCAUUUUGUGAAGACAGAAAAUAAAUCAAGCCCGAAUCUUUUUUUUUUAAAAACAUUUGUUCGACUGCAGCGACACCCAGAGUGAAAAAGAGGAAGUGUGUAGCUGUCAGGCAGAGCUGAGCUCUCACACUAUUUUCAGCUCUUGGUCUUAAACAGGUGUUUCCACAUCUAAGGUAAAAUAUAAAACACUCUGUAAAAUGUUCUAAAGCAGUUUUAAAGAUCACACAUGCUAUACACACCGAUCAGCCAUAACAUUAAAUCCACCUGCCUGAUAUUGCGUAGGUCCCCUUUGUGCUGCCGUAACAGCUCUGAGCCGUCGAGGCAUGGACUCCACAAGAGCUCUGAAGGUGUGCUGUGGGAUCUGACACCCAGACGUUAGCAGCAGAUCCUUUAAGUCCUGUAAGUUGUGAGGUGGAGCCUCCAUGGAUCAGACUUGUUUAUCCAGCACAUUGUACAGAUGCUCAAUCAGAUUGAGACCUGGGGAAUUUGGAGGCCAAGUCAACACCUUCAAUUCUUUGUCAUGUUCCUUAAAUUAUUCCUGAACA